GGAAGAGCUGUCCACAUAAUUGGAGAAGCUGAAAAAUUCAACAACAGUCCAAGAGAAUGAUAGGAACUGAAAGAAGAAGAUCAUCAGACUUCACCAACUAUCUAAGGACGAAGUUACACAUUACAGAAGGGAUCACAGCCAGUGGGAGGACAAGGACACCAGCACUUCCUGAACUCUGCAGAGGAGGUGGCUCUCAGCAUUAUUAAUUGACUGUAACACAGCUCAUCUUCCAGCUUUGAAACCCAACCACUGCUGUUCAAAAGGAAGAAAAAGUAAGAGAGAAAGAGAGAACAGCGUAGCACCACUGAAGAAGCCCCAUUUAUUGAUGCAUCAUUUAUUGCCCCCAGCUCAGAUACUGGAUCUGCAAGUGCAUCUAAAGAGAAGGGAUCAGCGGCUGCAGAGAUACCAGGUCACCUUCUCCUCUACCAUCCGUGUGAGAAUACAGCAACACUCAAAUCCAGUAAUUCAGCACCAAAUUACAAAUGCAUUCCGAGUACUCGGAGAAACUUUAUAAGAGCAAGGUUUUUUUUUCAAAAUCAAUUGAAAAUGUAAGUCAGAUGCCAGGCUUUUUAAAUAACUCUGGUCCUCCUUGCAGUUCAGUACUUGUUUCAUAGUACUGAAUCAUUCAAUGAACCCAAGUUGUCAAAGUUAGGAAAUCCAGCAUCUG